AACCAACAGGGAUUGCCUCAGUAACGGCGAGUGAAGCGGCAAAAGCUCAAAUUUGAAAUCCUGCGGGAGUUGUAAUUUGAAGGUUGCGGGUCCUGAGGCUGUGCGCGCCCAAGUCCAUUGGAACAUGGCGCCUGGGAGGGUGAGAGCCCCGUCCGGCGCAGCGCAGUCUUUUUUGCGGCCCGUUUCCGACGAGUCGAGUUGUUUGGGAAUGCAGCUCAAAGUGGGUGGUAAAUUCCAUCUAAAGCUAAAUAUUGGCGAGAGACCGAUAGCGAACAAGUACAGUGAUGGAAAGAUGAAAAGCACUUUGAAAAGAGAGUGAAACAGUACGUGAAAUUGUUGAAAGGGAAGGGCUUGCAAGCAGACACGGUUUCGGCCGGGCCAGCAUCGGUUUGCCGGGGCGGACAAUGCGGCGGGAAUGUGGCGCGCCUCCUUGUGGGGCGCGUGUUUAUAGCCCGCCGAGAUACGCCCAUGGCAGACCGAGGCCUGCGAUCCAAUCUAGGAUGCUGGCGUAAUG
rnacentral:rRNA from 1 species